GAUUGGUUACCUUUGUUACGACUUCGUCCCAGUCACCGGCCCUGCCCUCGGCGGUUGGCCCCUUCCGGUUACCUCCCCGACUUCAGGCGUGACCCGCUCCCAUGACGUGACGGGCGGUGUGUACAAGGCCCGGGAACGUAUUCACCGCACUAUGGCUGACGCAGCGGUUACUAGCAACUCCGACUUCAUGCAGGCGGGUUGCAGCCUGCAAUCCGAACUACGAUGGGCUUUCGGGAUUGGCUCCACCUCGCGGCUUCGCAACCCAUUGUGCCCACCAUUGUAGCGUGUGUGUAGCCCUGGAUAUCAAGGCCAUGCUGACUUGACGUCAUCCCCACCUUCCUCCCGUUUCUACGGGCAGUCCCGCCAGACACCUGUAACUGGCAGCAGGGGUUGCGCUCGUUUGCGGACUUAACCGAACAUCUACGACACGAGCUGACACAGCCAUGCAGACCUGUACCGUUCCGAANGUCGGCCGUUUCGUUCCUACUCGGGAUGUAACCCAGUAANG
rnacentral:rRNA from 1 species